rnacentral:rRNA from 1 species
GAUGAACGCUGGCGGCGUGCCUAAUACAUGCAAGUCGAGCGAACGGACGAGAAGCUUGCUUCGCUGAUGUUAGCGGCGGACGGGUGAGUAGCACGUAAAUAACCUACCUCUAAGACUGGGAUAACUUCAGGAAACCGGAGCUACUACCGGAUAAUAUUUUGAACCGCAUGGUUCAAAAGUGAAAGACGGUCUUGCUGUCACUUAUAGAUGGAUCCGCGCUGCAUUAGCUAGUUGGUAAGGUAACGGCUUACCAAGGCAACGAUGCAUAGCCGACCUGAGAGGGUGAUCGGCCACACUGGAACGGGGACACGGUCCAGACUCCUACGGGAGGCAGCAGUAUGGAAUCUGCCGCAAUGGGCGAAAGCCUGACGGAGCAGCGGCGCGUGAGUGAUGAAGGUCUUCGGAUCGUAAAACUCGGUUAUUAGGGAAGAACAUAUGUGUAUGUAACUGUGCACAUCGUGACGGUACCUAAUCAGAAAGCCACGGCUAACUACGUG